UGGGGUCUUUUGGGGGCCCCCAGUGGAAUCUAUGGGGCUGGAGUCUCCAUUGGGGUCUAUGGGGUCCCCAUUGGGGUCUAUGGGGUCUCUGUUGGGGUCUAUGGGGUCCCCCACUGUGUCCUACGAGGUCUCCUAUUGGGGUCUAUGGGGUCCCCCAUUGCAAUCUAUGGGGCUGGGGUCCCCAUAGGUUAAGGGGAUAGGUCUAUGGGGUCUCCAUUGAGGUCUAUGGGGUCUCCAUUGGGGUCUAUGGAGUCUCCUAUUGGGGUCUAUAGGGUCCCCCAUUGCAAUCUAUGGGACUGAGGUCCCCAUUAGGGUCUAUGGGGUCUCCAUUGGUGUCAAUGGGGUCUCCAUUGGUGUCUAUGGGGUCCCCACGUGCAACCUAUGGGGCUGAGCUCUUCCCGUCGCUUCCUAUGGGUCCCCCACACCCCACAGUAGGUCCGGGGCUGCCGUACCCUCCCCCCCCCCCCCCCCCGUUGACCCCCAUUCCCCCCCCAUCCCGCAG
ensembl:lncRNA